GAUGAACGCUGGCGGCGUGCCUAAUACAUGCCAGUCGAGCGAACAGAUAAGGAGCUUGCUCCUUUGACGUUAGCGGCGGACGGGUGAGUAACACGUGGGUAACCUACCUAUAAGACUGGGAUAACUUCGGGAAACCGGAGCUAAUACCGGAUAACAUUUGGAACCGCAUGGUUCUAAAGUGAAAGAUGGUUUUGCUAUCACUUAUAGAUGGACCCGCGCCGUAUUAGCUAGUUGGUAAGGUAACGGCUUACCAAGGCAACGAUACGUAGCCGACCUGAGAGGGUGAUCGGCCACACUGGAACUGAGACACGGUCCAGACUCCUACGGGAGGCAGCAGUAGGGAAUCUUCCGCAAUGGGCGAAAGCCUGACGGAGCAACGCCGCGUGAGUGAUGAAGGGUUUCGGCUCGUAAAACUCUGUUAUUAGGGAAGAACAAACGUGUAAGUAACUGUGCACGUCUUGACGGUACCUAAUCAGAAAGCCGCGGCUAACUACGUG
rnacentral:rRNA from 1 species